rnacentral:rRNA from 1 species
UUCGGGUUGUAAAGUACUUUCAGUCGUGAGGAAGGCGGCGUCGUUAAUAGCGGCGUUGUUUGACGUUAGCGACAGAAGAAAGCACCGGCUAACUCCGUGCCAGCAGCCGCGGUAAUACGGAGGGUGCGAGCGUUAAUCGGAAUUACUGGGCGUAAAGCGCAUGCAGGUGGUUUGUUAAGUCAGAUGUGAAAGACCCGGGGCGUCAACCUACGGAAUUGCAUUUGUAAACUAGGCAGACUAGAGUACUGUAGAGGGGGGUAGGAAUUUCAGGUGUAGCGGUGAAAUGCGUAGAGAUCUGAAGGAAUACCGGUGGCGAAGGCGGCCCCCUCGGACAGAUACUGACACUCAGAUGCGAAAGCGUGGGGAGCAAACAGGAUUAGAUACCCUGGUAG